rnacentral:rRNA from 1 species
GGCUUCUGUCGAGUGCUGCAUGGUGUCGUCAGCUCGUGCCGUGAGGUGUCGGCUCAAGUGCCAUAACGAGCGCUACUCUUGCCGUCAGUUACCAGCACGUAAUGGUGGGGACUCUGGCGGGACUGCCACCGCAAGGUGAGAGGAAGGGGGGGAUGACGUCAAAUCAGCACGGCCCUUACGUCCGGGGCGACACACGUGUUACAAUGGGUGCCACAGAGGGGAUCUACCUGGCGACAGGAUGGUAAUCUCGAAAAGCGCCCUCAGUUCGGAUCGGAGUCUGCAACCCGACUCCGUGAAGCUGGAUUCGCUAGUAAUCGCGCAUCAGCCAUGGCGCGGUGAAUACGUUCCCGGGCCUUGUACACACCGCCCGUCAAGCCAUGAAAGCCUGGGGCGCCUGAAGUCCGUGACCGAGAGGAGCGGCCUAGGGCGAAACAGGUAAUGGGGCUAAGUCGUAACAAGGUAACCUA